GAUGAACGCUGGCGGCGUGCCUAAUACAUGCAAGUCGAGCGAACAGACGAGGAGCUUGCUCCUCUGACGUUAGCGGCGGACGGGUGAGUAACACGUGGAUAACCUACCUAUAAUACUGGGAUAACUUCGGGAAACCGGAGCUAAUACCGGAUAAUAUAUUGAACCGCAUGGUUCAAUAGUGAAAUACGGUUUUGCUGUCUCUUCUAGAUGGAUCCUCGCCGCAUUAGCUAGUUGGUAAGGUAACGGCUUACCAAGGCAACGAUGCGUAGCCGACCUGAGAGGGUGAUCGGCAACACUGGAACUGAGACACGGACCAGACUCCUACGGGAGGCAGCAGUAGGGAAUCGUCCGCAAUGGGCGAAAGCCUGACGGAGCAACGCCGCGUGAGUGAUGAAGGUAUUCGGAUCGUAAAACUCUGUUAUUAGGGAAGAACAAAUGUGUAAGUAACUAUGCACGUAUUGACGGUACCUAAUCAGAAAGCAACGGCUAACUACGUG
rnacentral:rRNA from 1 species